rnacentral:snRNA from 8 species
AUACUUACCUGGCAAGGGAGAUACCGUGAUCAAGAAGGCGGUUCACCCAGGGCGAGGCUCAGCCAUUGCACUCCAGCUGUGCUGACCCAUGCGAAUUUCCCGAAUGUGGAAAUCUCGAUUGCAUA